rfam:Musa acuminata subsp. malaccensis Doubled-haploid Pahang (DH-Pahang) genomic chromosome, chr4
AUACCUUUCUCGGCCUUUUGGCUAAGAUCAAAUGAAGUAUCUGUUCUUAUCAGUUUAAUAUAUGAUACGUGGGUCAUCGAUCCACUAUGAUAUUAAAUUAAUUUAUUGUGGGGGAUGGCCCAUCACAGUGGCUUGCCAUUGGGGACCUUGCGCGUCGCUUGUGCGUUGCACUACAGCACUGACCUGGCGCACCUUGA